AGUGAACGCUGGCGGUAGGCCUAACACAUGCAAGUCGAACGGCAGCACAGUAAGAGCUUGCUCUUACGGGUGGCGAGUGGCGGACGGGUGAGGAAUACAUCGGAAUCUACUUUUUCGUGGGGGAUAACGUAGGGAAACUUACGCUAAUACCGCAUACGACCUACGGGUGAAAGCAGGGGAUCUUCGGACCUUGCGCGAUUGAAUGAGCCGAUGUCGGAUUAGCUAGUUGGCGGGGUAAAGGCCCACCAAGGCGACGAUCCGUAGCUGGUCUGAGAGGAUGAUCAGCCACACUGGAACUGAGACACGGUCCAGAGUCCUACGGGAGGCAGCAGUGGGGAAUAUUGGACAAUGGGCGCAAGCCUGAUCCAGCCAUACCGCGUGGGUGAAGAAGGCCUUCGGGUUGUAAAGACCUUUUGUUGGGAAAGAAAAGCAGCAGGUUAAUACCCCGCUGUUCUGACGGUACCCAAAGAAUAAGCACCGGCUAACUUCGUG
rnacentral:rRNA from 1 species